UUUUGGCUCCAUAUUAUUUGGGGCGACUUUCAAAAUAUUGCUGGCAUAUGUCUAUUUGGAGCGACUGGGUCGCUGCUACAAUUCUCUUUGGAAAAAACACAAGGCACAAUACAGUCUCUCUCUUCAUUGUUCCUCUUUGCUGCUCUAAAUCCCCAAAUUCAAAAUCCAUGUCCCUUUUUUGCUGAUCUUUGCUGCUCAAGUUCCCUUCGUCAUUGCUGAUCUUUUCUACUCAAGUUCUUAAGUUUGCUGCUCCCUUCUCUGCUUUCAAUUAGUGACCCAAAAGCUCAAAUCAGAUAUGUGUCAAGUUCUUAAUCCUUGCCUUUUUCUCUUCCGUAAUAGGAAAGAAAGUUGGGAUUUAUUUUUGAUUUGCCAAACGCAACAAGUAUUAAGGGAAAAAAAUAAGUUAGGGUUUUUUUGGUAAUGAUUCCAUGAGAAAUUUUUCAACAUCCAUUUUGGGAAUUGUUUAUGGAAUAAAGAGCAAUGACAACAUCCUUAUUCAUUUUGCCACAAUGAAGCUUUGGCGGGACAAAGUUUGUGAAUAAUGGGUCGACCAAGGAAGAGCUUGAAGGCGUGUAAUGAAAGUUUUUUUCCAUCAUAUCUAAAUAUGCAUACAUUGUCACUUAUGUACUAUGUAUUAGACUUUCUAGUAAUGAAAGUACUUAUAAUAUUCAGCUUGAGAAUACUUUUGCCAUUUGUAAAUACAAUUGGAUGUUGUUAAUAACUAUAUAUUAAUUUUAGAGUA